rnacentral:rRNA from 1 species
AAGCAUCGGCUAACUCCGUGCCAGCAGCCGCGGUAAUACGGAGGGUGCAAGCGUUGUCCGGAUUUAUUGGGUUUAAAGGGUACGUAGGCGGAAUUUUAAGUCAGUAGUGAAAGCCCAUCGCUUAACGAUGGAACUGCUAUUGAUACUGGAAUUCUUGAAUAUAGUUGAAGUUGGCGGAAUACGGCAUGUAGCGGUGAAAUGCAUAGAUAUGCCGUGGAACACCGAUCGCGAAGGCAGCUAACUAAGCUAUUAUUGACGCUGAGGUACGAAAGCGUGGGGAGCGAACAGGAUUAGAUACCCUGGUAGUCCAUGCCGUAAACGAUGAUCACUCGCUGUUGGCGAUAUACCGUUCAGCGGCCAAGCGAAAGCGUUAAGU